rnacentral:snoRNA from 14 species
CUUAGGAGCCAAUGAUGUCUUUAUCCAAAAUGUCUGAACCUGUCUGAAGCAUCUCAGUGAUGCACACUGUUGUGCUGAGGCUUCUCUGCUC